GAGUUUGAUCGUGGCUCAGGAUGAACGCUGGCGGCGUGCCUAAUACAUGCAAGUCGAACGAACAGAUAAGGAGCUUGCUCCUUUGACGUUAGCGGCGGACGGGUGAGUAACGCGUGGGUAACCUACCUAUAAGACUGGGAAUAACUCCGGGAAACCGGGGCUAAUGCCGGAUAACAUGUUGAACCGCAUGGUUCUACAGUGAAAGACGGUCUUGCUGUCACUUAUAGAUGGACCCGCGCCGUAUUAGCUAGUUGGUGGGGUAACGGCCUACCAAGGCGACGAUACGUAGCCGACCUGAGAGGGUGAUCGGCCACACUGGAACUGAGACACGGUCCAGACUCCUACGGGAGGCAGCAGUAGGGAAUCUUCCGCAAUGGGCGAAAGCCUGACGGAGCAACGCCGCGUGAGUGAUGAAGGUCUUCGGAUCGUAAAGCUCUGUUGUUAGGGAAGAACAAAUGUGUAAGUAACUGUGCAUAUCUUGACGGUACCUAACCAGAAAGCCACGGCUAACUACGUGCCAGCAGCCGCCGU
rnacentral:rRNA from 1 species